AGGAGGAACAAUCGCAGUGGCGGGGCCAGCUCUGCAGUCCUAGAGUCAGCCCCCGCAGUAAAUACAGAGCUCUCCGUCUGCAGGGCCUGGAGGCUCCGGGGCGGG
rnacentral:pre_miRNA from 1 species